AAUAACCAAAAAUGAUGCUGGGGCUAAGAGUUAAGUUGGUAAUUUUUCUUACAUCUCCCCCACCUGGAGCCCAGGUAUCAUAUACACCUCCAAAAUAAACAGCUUUAAAUACCAGAAGAAAAGCACCUAGACCUAACAAAAUUAGGUGAAUGCCCAAAAUUGUAGUCAUUUUAUUUCGAUCUUUCCA
rnacentral:antisense_RNA from 1 species